rnacentral:rRNA from 1 species
UACGUAGGGGGCUAGCGUUGCCCGGAAUCAUUGGGCGUAAAGCGCGUGUAGGCGGUCCGGUAAGUCCGCUGUGAAAGUCGGGGGCUCAACCCUCGGAUGCCGGUGGAUACUGUCGGGCUUGAGUACGGAAGAGGCGAGUGGAAUUCCUGGUGUAGCGGUGAAAUGCGCAGAUAUCAGGAGGAACACCAAUUGCGAAGGCGGCUCACUGGUCCGGUACUGACGCUGAGGUGCGAAAGCAUGGGUAGCGAACAGG